GGAAUCAACGCUGGCGGCGUGCCUAACACAUGCAAGUCGAACGAGAAAGUGGAGCAAUCCAUGAGUAAAGUGGCGACCGGGUGAGUAACACGUGACUAACCUACCUUCGAGUGGGGGAUAACCUCGGGAAACCGAGGCUAAUACCGCAUAACAUCGUGAGAUCAAAGCAGUAAUGCGCUGGAAGAGGGGGUCGCGGCUGAUUAGCUAGUUGGCGGGGUAAUGGCCCACCAAGGCGAAGAUCGGUA
rnacentral:rRNA from 1 species